rnacentral:tRNA from 1 species
GGCCCCAUCGUCUAUUGGUUAGGACACUUCCCUUUCACGGAAAAAAGAGGGGUUCGACUCCCCUUGGGGCCG